ACUAAUAUUUAAUUUAACAUUUUAGCACGAAUAUGUUCAGACCAUUUUAAAGAAGACUGCUUUGAAAUUCCUCUGAGAGAAAAGCUAUUAAAUUACACUCCAACGUUAGUGGCUUUUUAAGGCCUGAUGAUGCUCUGAAUAGAGCGAAACACGUGUAGCUUUAAGUAAAUGUUGUGAGACCAUGACUUUGUGUUUUUUAUUGUUUUUCGUCUGUUGUAUUCGUCUCUUUGUGAAAAAUGGAUGAGAUUUUCUUAUUUGAACUAAUUGAUAAGAUAUAUUCACUUUAUAAUAAUUUUCUAAGUUUAUAAUAUUUAAAUAUCCUGUGUUUAUUACA